rnacentral:rRNA from 1 species
AACGAACGCUGGCGGCAUGCCUAACACAUGCAAGUCGAACGAGACCUUCGGGUCUAGUGGCGCACGGGUGCGUAACGCGUGGGAACCUGCCCUUAGGUUCGGAAUAACUCCCCGAAAGGGGUGCUAAUACCGGAUAAUGUCUUCGGACCAAAGAUUUAUCGCCUUUGGAUGGGCCCGCGUUGGAUUAGCUAGUUGGUAGGGUAAAAGCCUACCAAGGCGACGAUCCAUAGCUGGUCUGAGAGGAUGAUCAGCCACACUGGGACUGAGACACGGCCCAGACUCCCUCCGGAGGGCGGCGGUGGGAAUUUUGGACCAUGGGCCAAAGCCUUAUCCCGCCAAGCCGCGUGAGUGAUGAAGGCCUUAGGGUUGGAAAGCCUCUUUACCCGGGAUGAUAAUGACAGUACCGGGAGAAUAAGCUCCGGCUAACUCCGUG